ensembl:lncRNA
UUGGGUUCCCAGCGGAGGUGGAGGAGGAGACGUCUGACUUGGAGGCCAACAUCACCUUCUAUCAGCUGGACGACCGCGACGGUGUCUUCCCCCCGCUGGCGGGUCCCGCUGUGCCCCCCCCCUCCAUAGGAGCCCCGCCCCCUCCCAACGGCUCCGCCUACAGAGUUCAGAGAGGGGCGGGGCCUGCACCUCCACUUGGGAGCCCCCCCAUCUGUUCGUCCGAGGAGGACCAGGAGGAUGCCAGCACCGUAGAGGACCAGGGUAAAAACUGAGCUAAAGCUUUCAGGUUGAUCCAGCAGGGAGUUGUAUUGUUCCAUGUGGUGUUAUUCCUGUUUCAGCAGAGUACACAGAGGACUACAUCUACAUCACUCAAGGUGGGUACGUUCACCAGAAGGUUCUCUCAGACGUCCUCAGGAAGUGAUGCAUGUUUGUUCUAACGUGAACCCUUUCAGAUCAGAACUACCAGACCUCAGGUGUUUACACUGCUGCUGAGCCCUCCAACAAGGACGAACAGGAAAGAGGAACUACUGAUUCGCCACCGAGACCAGAGAUGAACUACAGCUACACACAGCAGGUGGUGAAACCAUUAGUAAUCUGCUCUUCACCCUCGUCUUCCUCCUCCUCACCCUCUUCUCCAUCACGUGUACCUGCCACUGCCCACCUGCCGGCAGCCACACA